AAAAUAGUCCCAUCACGUUUAGUUAUUACAGACUUUACAGUUAUUGUUUAAUUUCAGAUCAAACCUGAAAGUGUACUCAUUGUUCAUGCAAUCUGAUCGUUAACACUGCUGCUGCUGCUGGUAUCUUCAGUGUAAACAGAAAAUGUAAUUGUGAAACUAUGGAGCACUAUGAACAGUAUCAAUUCAUUUCUGUUAGAGCAAUUAUAUUUUGUUCCAGUGCACCUAUGCCAUCCAUCAAAAAUAACAGCAUGUGGAAUUGAUAUUUUGUUAAGUGCUUGUUAUCCUUAAAUUGUUUUAAAGUGCUGAAGGAGACAGCUGUAAUGGUACUUUGAGCACAUCUUAUUAAACACUGCUUGUUACAGCUGAGUUGUUUGUAGAAUGCAGUCUGGAUUAAAGUCCUGUUUUAAACUGGGUAAAAACUCUACAGAAACUUAUGAAACACUCAAGACUGCUUAUGGAUUGGCUUUUUCACUAGCACAAGAGGUUCAAGGCAAGUAGAGAAAAGACAAGAGACAAUGAAAGGUGUGAGAGGGAGAGAGAUGUCAGAAACUCAGAGCUGGUUGAGAAAAUUCACAAUUUUCUGGAUGAAGACUACUGUGUGUCUAAAGACAAUAAGCAUACAGUUUGGAGUUGGUUUAGUAACUGUACCCAGAAUUAUUCAUGAAGAUCUGAACGUGUGCAAAAUUUAUACUUUUUACUCUUUACUCUUUUAUUCUUUUACUUGUUUCAGUCAUUUGACUGGGGCCAUGUUGGAGCACUGGCUUUAGUCGAGCAAAUCAACUCCAGGACUUAUUCUUUGUAAGCCUAGUACUUAUUCUAUUGGUUGUAUUUUGCUGCACUGCUAAGUUACGGGGAUGUAAACACACCAGCAUCAGUUGUCAAGCGAUGUUGGGGAGACAAACACAGACACACUAAUACAUAUAUAUAUAUACAUAUACAUAUAUACGACAGGCUUCUUUCAGUUUCCGUCUACCAAAUCCAUUCACAAGGCUUUGCUCGGUCUGAGGCUAUAGUAGAAGACACUCACCCAAGGUGCCAUGCAGUGGGACUGAACCCAGAACCAUGUGGUUGGUAAGCAAGUUACUUACCACACAGCAACUCCUGCACCUGUGUAGUUUGUUCUCAGGGUGCUCAGUGGUGAGAAUUUUGGUAACCAACUUCUUGGCAGAGAUGGGCAUCAGAACUGUGCCUUGCUCUUCUCACAGUCCAGACUUUGCUCUCUCUAACAUUUGGUUGUUCCCAAAGCUGAAGGAGAACCACAGAGGCAAUAAGUUUGAAGAUGAAGAAGGUUCUGACAAGGGUCCUUGACACCUUCAAUUUGGAGGACUUCCAUGGGCCCUUCAUGAAGUGGAUGGAACGUUACAACAAGUGCAUUGAAGUCAGGGGAUCCUACUUUGAAGGAGAUUAGUGUUUUGUACUUCUUUGAAAUGAAUAACUGUAUCUCCUGAAAAAGUCUGAAAACUUCUGGAAUGCAACUCAUAUAUUUCAUACAAUUUGAGAAUCUCAGUUUGGUAGAAUAAUUACACACAUGAAAUAUUUUUAGUUAUAAUCUUUUACAUUAUGAGUUCAAAUCCUGCCAGGAUCCACUUUGCCUUUUAUCCUUCUGAGGCCAAUAAAUAAUGUACCAUGAAAAAUUCUUGGGGUUGAUAUAGUCAACAGUUCUCUUGCCACCAGAAAAAAAAAAUUCUUGCCUUUUAUGCUUAUGAAAUAAAUUUAUGUAAAGUGCAAUUUUUUCAUCUCACAUUAUGGUAAGUGAGCAAUAAAUAGUAUUGAAUUUCAUAUUACAUUUCAAA